GACGAACGCUGGCGGCGUGCUUAACACAUGCAAGUCGAACGGAAAGGCCCUGCUUUUGUGGGGUGCUCGAGUGGCGAACGGGUGAGUAACACGUGAGUAACCUGCCCUUGACUUUGGGAUAACUUCAGGAAACUGGGGCUAAUACCGGAUAGGAGCUCCUGCUGCAUGGUGGGGGUUGGAAAGUUUCGGCGGUUGGGGAUGGACUCGCGGCUUAUCAGCUUGUUGGUUGGGUAGUGGCUUACCAAGGCUUUGACGGGUAGCCGGCCUGUGAGGGUGAACGGCCACAUUGGGACUGCGGUACGGACCAGACUCCUACGGGGGGCAGCGGUCGGGAAUAUUGCCCAAUGGGCGGGAGCCUGAUGCAGCAGCGCCGCGUGCGGGAUGACGGCCUUCGGGUUGUAAACCGCUUUCGCCUGUGACGAAGCGUGAGUGACGGUAAUGAGUAAAGAAGCACCGGCUAACUACGUG
rnacentral:rRNA from 1 species